rnacentral:rRNA from 1 species
UACGAAGGGGGCUAGCGUUGUUCGGAUUUACUGGGCGUAAAGCGCACGUAGGCGGAUUGUUAAGUCAGGGGUGAAGACUCGUGAGCUCAACUCCAGAACUGCCUUUGAUACUGGCAAUCUAGAGUCCGGAAGAGGUGAGUGGAACUCCUAGUGUAGAGGUGAAAUUCGUAGAUAUUCGGAAGAACACCAGUGGCGAAGGCGACUUACUGGACACAUAUUGACGCUGAGGUGCGAAAGCGUGGGGAGCAAACAGG